GACGUAGGGCGCGAGCGUUGUCCGGAUUUAUUGGGCGUAAAGAGCUCGUAGGCGGCUUGUCGCGUCGUCCGUGAAAACCUGCAGCUCAACUGCAGGCUUGCGGUCGAUACGGGCAGGCUAGAGUUCGGUAGGGGAGACUGGAAUUCCUGGUGUAGCGGUGAAAUGCGCAGAUAUCAGGAGGAACACCAACGGCGAAGGCAGCUCGCUAGGACGGUACUGACGCUGAGACGCGAAAGCGUGGGGAGCGAACAGG
rnacentral:rRNA from 1 species